rnacentral:rRNA from 1 species
UUGGAGGGCAAGUCUGGUGCCAGCAGCCGCGGUAAUUCCAGCUCCAAUAGCGUAUAUUAAAGUUGUUGCAGUUAAAAAGCUCGUAGUUGAAUUUCGGGGUCAGUAGGUUGGUCGUGCCUAUGGUAUGUACUGGCUUUACUGAUUCCUCCUUCUUGAAGAACUGUAAUGUCAUUAAUUUGGUGUUGCAGGGAAACAGGACUGUUACUUUGAAAAAAUUAGAGUGUUUAAAGCAGGCUAACGCUUGAAUACAUUAGCAUGGAAUAAUGAAAUAGGACGUUCGAUCCUAUUUUGUUGGUUUCUAGGAUUGACGUAAUGAUUAAUAGGGAUAGUUGGGGGCAUUAGUAUUCAAUUGUCAGAGGUGAAAUUCUUGGAUUUAUUGAAGACUAACUACUGCGAAAGCAUUUGCCAAGGAUGUUUUCAUUAAUCAAGAACGAAAGUUAGGGGAUCGAAGACGAUCAGAUACCGUCGUAGUCUUAACCAUAAACUAUGCCGACUAGGGAUUGGAUGAUGUUAAUUUUUUAAUGACUCAUUCGGCGCCUUACGGGAAAC